rnacentral:rRNA from 1 species
AUGAACGCUGGCGGCGUGCCUAAUACAUGCAAGUCGAGCGAACGGACGAGAAGCUUGCUUCUCUGAUGUUAGCGGCGGACGGGUGAGUAACACGUGGAUAACCUACCUAUAAGACUGGGAUAACUUCGGGAAACCGGAGCUAAUACCGGAUAAUAUUUUGAACCGCAUGGUUCAAAAGUAAAAGACGGUCUUGCUGUCACUUAUAGAUGGAUCCGCGCUGCAUUAGCUAGUUGGUAAGGUAACGGCUUACCAAGGCAACGAUGCAUAGCCGACCUGAGAGGGUGAUCGGCCACACUGGAACUGAGACACGGUCCAGACUCCUACGGGAGGCAGCAGUAGGGAAUCUUCCGCAAUGGGCGAAAGCCUGACGGAGCAACGCCGCGUGAGUGAUGAAGGUCUUCGGAUCGUAAAACUCUGUUAUUAGGGAAGAACAUAUGUGUAAGUAACUGUGCACAUCUUGACGGUACCUAAUCAGAAAGCCACGGCCAACUACGUG